rnacentral:rRNA from 1 species
UACGAAGGGGGCUAGCGUUGCUCGGAAUUACUGGGGCGUAAAGCGCACGUAGGCGGCUUUCUAAGUCGGGGGUGAAAUCCUGGAGCUCAACUCCAGAACUGCCUUCGAUACUGGAAAGCUCGAGUCCGGGAGAGGUGAGUGGAACUGCGAGUGUAGAGGUGAAAUUCGUAGAUAUUCGCAAGAACACCAGUGGCGAAGGCGGCUCACUGGCCCGAUACUGACGCUGAGGCACGAAAGCGUGGGGAGCAAACAGG